rnacentral:rRNA from 1 species
CCUACGGGCGGCAGCAGUGAGGAAUAUUGGUCAAUGGGCUAAAGCCUGAACCAGCCAAGUCGCGUGAGGGAAGACGGUCCUAUGGAUUGUAAACCUCUUUUGUCGGGGAGCAACGAGGCCACGUGUGGCCGAAGUGAGAGUACUCGAAGAAAAAGCAUCGGCUAACUCCGUGCCAGCAGCCGCGGUAAUACGGAGGAUGCGAGCGUUAUCCGGAUUUAUUGGGUUUAAAGGGUGCGUAGGUGGAACAUUAAGUCAGCGGUAAAAUCGAGGGGCUAAACCCAUUAAAGCAAUUGAAACUGGUGAUCUUGAGUGGGAGAGAAGUAUGCGGAAUGCGUGGUGUAGCGGUGAAAUGCAUAGAUAUCACGAAGAACUCCGAUUGCGAAGGCAGCAUACUGGCGCGCGACUGACACUGAGGCACGAAAGCGUGGGGAUCAAACAGGAUUAGAUACCCGUGUAGUC